rnacentral:other from 1 species
CCAGCCCUGCUGCGUGCGUGAUGGUCCGAAGUAGUUUUGAGCCAACACUCAAGACAAAGGGACCCGAGUUCGGCCGUUGAGUGGUAGCCCCUGCGGGGGUGGCACGGAUGCGGACGGUAGGGUUCCACCCGUGGGAGCACGGGUUCAGAAACUAUGGGACCACACGGCGUGGCGGGGCUUUG